UACGUAGGUGGCGAGCGUUAUCCGGAAUGAUUGGGCGUAAAGGGUUCGUAGGCGGUUCGUCGCGUCCGGUGUGAAAGUCCAUCGCUUAACGGUGGAUCCGCGCCGGGUACGGGCGGGCUUGAGUGCGGUAGGGGAGACUGGAAUUCCCGGUGUAACGGUGGAAUGUGUAGAUAUCGGGAAGAACACCAAUGGCGAAGGCAGGUCUCUGGGCCGUUACUGACGCUGAGGAGCGAAAGCGUGGGGAGCGAACAGG
rnacentral:rRNA from 1 species